GUGCUCUCUUAAGCAGCACAAAUACAGAACUUGGAGUGAAACAAAGAUGAGCAUUGUUCCUGUGCAAGGAUGACGUGCAAAUGUGUAAACUGUUUCAUAUAAAA
rnacentral:snRNA from 1 species